AUUGAACGCUGGCGGCAUGCCUUACACAUGCAAGUCGAACGGUAACGCGGGGCAACCUGGCGACGAGUGGCGAACGGGUGAGUAAUAUAUCGGAACGUGCCCAGUAGUGGGGGAUAGCCCGGCGAAAGCCGGAUUAAUACCGCAUACGACCUACGGGUGAAAGGGGGGGAUCGCAAGACCUCUCGCUAUUGGAGCGGCCGAUAUCAGAUUAGCUAGUUGGUAGGGUAAAAGCCUACCAAGGCAACGAUCUGUAGCUGGUCUGAGAGGACGACCAGCCACACUGGGACUGAGACACGGCCCAGACUCCUACGGGAGGCAGCAGUGGGGAAUUUUGGACAAUGGGCGCAAGCCUGAUCCAGCCAUGCCGCGUGUGGGAAGAAGGCCUUCGGGUUGUAAACCACUUUUGUCAGGGAAGAAACGCUCUGGAUUAAUACUCUGGGGUAAUGACGGUACCCGAAGAAUAAGCACCGGCUAACUACGUGCCAGCCGCCGCAGUAA
rnacentral:rRNA from 1 species